rnacentral:lncRNA from 10 species
ACUCACACACAAUUCAUGCUGUAGAGCACAGUUGGGCAAGGCAAGUGGCAGCUUUGAGCUCCCUCUGGAAGGGGCAGGGGAGGGGGAAAUCAUGCCCUUAGAGGCCCCUCCCCAACCCCUCCCUCCCCACCCCCAAUCUGCUGCAGCAUCUGCCUCCCCAGUGUCAGCAUCAAAGAUUCAUCAAAGCUGAAGCCCAGCAAAGUGUGUGCUUCACAUCUCUAAAUGUGCUUCUUCCCAAUGAAAAAUUCAGUGGAAAAUGCAGGGAGUUAAAGAGGGGAGAAAAAAACAGAUUUGAGAAGGAAACAGGGAAGGAAGAAGAGAAAAGAGAGCUGCCUCUGCACUGUGGUUCCACUGAAUCCACCCACACUUACUGAGCAUCUGCCUUAUUUAGGGCACUGUACCAGGCACAGAGGUGCGACCGCCAAAUACAGCCUCAUAGGCUGCGCACUGCACAACUUUGGGGGAACCAUUCCCAGAGAUGCAUUCUGGCUCCUGUCCAAAUGGCGUGGGAGUCAGGAGGCCUGGGUGUCUGAGUCUGCUCCGCCACUCAUUAGUCAUCUAACAUUCUUGAGUCUCAGAUUUCUCACAUCCAAGCCAGAGGUUCCAAUACCCACCCCUCUCUUCUUCCAGUGCCCUGAGGAACAUGUGCACAGGUUGUAAACUGUUGUGAUAAAAAGAAAGUAGAUAACUCAUCCUACAGAGAAGCCCAAACAAUGGGUUCAGGAAAAGAAGAGGAAGGGACCAUUUCCAGUGGGGACAGUAGAGGGGG